AAGAAGAAGAAGAGGAGGAGGAGAUGGAAAGUCAUGAGAAGGUUCCAUUGUUCGAAAGUACUGAUGAUGAAGAUGAACCUUGAAGAUGAACUUAUAUCGUUGAUGAAUGAGCGAGUUACUUUAGUUGCAGAUGAUCUACAUAUACUUCGGCAACAAAUUGAGGAAGAACAGGUAAUUCCAUUGAAAGUCAAGAUUCCUCAUUGGUGUUUGUUGUAUAUUGGCUCACCAUAGUUGGGUGCACAGGAUCAUACCU
rnacentral:lncRNA from 1 species